GGCCGCUAGGGCAGAGUUGACUCCCGUGUUGUGCGCGUGUCUGGCCGAACCUCAGGGAACCGGUGCUGUCGCCUAGCACAGGGCUUCUGACAUCCUUCUGCUCCGGGGUUAUGCCACAACCGGGCAUGAGGGACUCCCUGGCUGCAUCCGCAUCCCAGCCCAAAAACAACUGGGCAUGGGGGAUUCUCUGUGUCCACACCCCAACCCACAGACUACUGGGAUGUGGAACUCCCUGCACCCACACCCCUAACCCCCCGACAACUGUGCACUUGGACUCCGUGCACCCACACCUCACAGACAACUAGGUGUGGGGGACCCCCUUUGCAUCACACUCCAACCCACAGACAAGGUACAGGGACUCCAUUACAUCCUUCAGCUAUAAAACAAAGGUUUGCUACUGUUUCUCCCAGGGAGGAGGAAAGUUGUCAAUUGCUUGGCUGGAAUCCACCUUUUGCAGACUUUUAUCGCUUGUAAUAUCUGGAAGAUCUUCAUAAUUAGUCAUUUCUAAUUAUUUUUCUAUCUUUCUUUGUUGUAUUUUUUGGGAGUUUUCUUAUUGUUUUAGAAUUUCUAAUUCUAAAUCUUUGUGUACAAUGUUGGUAUCACUCUCAAAAUAUUUGACAAUUAUUUUUUGAUCAACAACCACCAGAGGGAGCUUUUACCUUUCUUUACUUUUUCAACUUAGAUAACUAUGUUGUUCUACUGUAAUAUUUCUACCACAGAUUUUAUUAUAUUUCUAUGGUUAGAUGGUAUUGUGAAACCAUUAUAUUACCAUUUAUUUAUUUUAUAUACAUAUACGUGUGUGUGUGUGUAUAUAUAUGUAUUUGUACACAUUUUUCUUCUCAUUCCUCUUUCUACUCUAUGGUCCCUUUCAGGUAAACUCUCUGUACAGAGAAGACAGCUAGAACAUUCCCAGGUUCCACACAUUCACUUUGCAUGUUGCCUAUCUUUUAGGAUUUGUACUUAAUAGAUGUUCUGGGUGUUUUUUAUUCUGUAAGGUGGUAUGAAUGUUUUCUCAGAAUUUCAUUUUGUCACUGAUUUCAAAAUUACCCUCUUUAUGGUUUGUUUAGGCUGCUUGUCUGUUGUGUAGAAGCAAUAUUCCUUUUGUUAUUUCUAAAAGUAUAGUACUUUAUGUAAAGAAAGACUACAGAGUUUCCCCAUUUAGAUCAAUAAUUAGUCCAUGUUCUAAAUAUCAGUGCUUAGUUUCAACAAAUAAUCUGCUUUAUUUCUUCCAGGCACAAU